rnacentral:lncRNA from 1 species
UCACAAACGAAGGGCUGCAACAAGGAUACUGUGUUGUCCCAAGCUCUAAGAGAUUUCUUCUCCUUUAUUCAUUCUUGAAGAGGAACCUGUCAAAGAAAAUAAUGGUUUUCUUCUCAUCUUGCAACUCUGUCAAGUUUCAUUCUGAGCUACUUCGAUAUAUCAAGAUUGAAUGAUGUGAUAUUCAUGGGAAGCAAAAGCAGCAAAAACGAACUUCUACUUUUUUUCGAGCUACUUCGCUAUAUCAAGAUUGAAUGAUGUGAUAUUCAUGGGAAGCAAAAGCAGCAAAAACGAACUUCUACCUUUUUUGAAUUCUGUGAAGCAAAAACAGGCAUCCUGU